rnacentral:rRNA from 1 species
UACGUAGGGUGCAAGCGUUGUCCGGAAUUACUGGGCGUAAAGAGCUCGUAGGCGUUUGUCGCGUCGUCUGUGAAAUCCCGCAGCUCAACUGCGGGCUUGCAGGCGAUACGGGCAGACUUGAGUACUGCAGGGAGACUGGAAUUCCUGGUGUAGCGGUGAAAUGCGCAGAUAUCAGGAAGAACACCAAUGGCGAAAGCAGCUCUCUGGGACGGUACUGACGCUGAGACGCGAAAGCGUGGGAGCGAACAGG